rnacentral:rRNA from 1 species
GAUGAACGCUGGCGGCGUGCCUAAUACAUGCAAGUCGAGCGAACAGACGAGGAGCUUGCUCCUCUGACGUUAGCGGCGGACGGGUGAGUAACACGUGGAUAACCUACCUAUAAGACUGGGAUAACUUCGGGAAACCGGAGCUAAUACCGGAUAAUAUAUUGAACCGCAUGGUUCAAUAGUGAAAGACGGUUUUGCUGUCACUUAUAGAUGGAUCCGCGCCGCAUUAGCUAGUUGGUAAGGUAACGGCUUACCAAGGCAACGAUGCGUAGCCGACCUGAGAGGGUGAUCGGCCACACUGGAACUGAGACACGGACCAGAGUCCUACGGGAGGCAGCAGUAGGGAAUCUUCCGCAAUGGGCGAAAGCUUGACGGAGCAACGCCGCGUGAGUGAUGAAGGUCUUCGGAUCGUAAAACUCUGUUAUUAGUGAAGAACAAAUGUGUAAGUAACUAUGCACGUCUUGACGGUACCUAAUCAGAAAGCCACGGCUAACUACGUG